GAUGAACGCUAGCGGCAGGCCUAAUACAUGCAAGCUGAACGGUAAGAUUUGUAGCAAUACGAGUCCUAGAGUAGCGUAAGGGUGCGUAACACGUAUGCAAUCUGCCCGCAACAGGAGGAUAGCUUAGCGAAAGUUGAGAUAAGACUCCAUAAGAUCACGAGAGGGCAUCUGAUUGUGAUUAAACUACAAGGGGUUGCGGAUGAGCAUGCGUCUGAUUAGUUAGUUGGCGGGGUAACGGCCCACCAAGACGAUGAUCAGUAGGGGAACUGAGAGGUUGGUCCCCCACACUGGCACUGAGAUACGGGCCAGACUCCUACGGGAGGCAGCAGUAGGGAAUAUUGGACAAUGGGUGCAAGCCUGAUCCAGCCAUGCCGCGUGCAGGAAGAAAGCCUUCUGGGUUGUAAACUGCUUUUUUCUGGGGAUAAAAGACCGGUGCGCCGGGCAUUGAAAGUACCAGGAGAAUAAGCCACGGCUAACUACGUGC
rnacentral:rRNA from 1 species